rnacentral:lncRNA from 1 species
GCGGCGCAGGAAGCGUCUUUGCACAGGAAAGCUCAGCCUCCAGUCGGAUGGGGAAACGCGACAAUCUAUGAUACAAAACCAGUAGCUGUCUGCGAAGAUGGAGGGGAAUUAUGCUUCGGAUUCCUCCGAAAUAUUGGCAAAAGGCUUCAAAGGAUCCGCGGUGGGGGAAGGGGGGAAUUAGCUCCCCAGCCUGCACCCACCCCUUCCCACUUCGCGUCUACCAAAUGACAGCCUGGUGCUUGCUCUCGGUGAUUUGGCCUUGACUUCAGCCAAGCAGCUGAUGCCGACGAGGCCCGGGCUUGCAGGACUGGCAAAGUGGACACUAAAGCAAGAAGGAAGAAUGUUUUUUUUUUUUUUAAAAAAAACAGCUCUGAGAAGGUUUCUCACUUUUUUUUUUUUUUUUUUUUGGAUUUUUAAACAAUUUUUUUCACCAUUUGAUCAGUCCCAGCCCCUCCCACCUCCGACCAAAUUGCUUUUUUUUUUUUUUUUUUAAUUUUUUCUUUUAAAUUCUCGUGAAAGCAUAAACUACAGAGUUACAGUCUCUAGAUUUGGUGUAUGGCUUCCUGCCCCGACUACCCCUCCCCGCCCCCGUUCUCGGUCCUGGCUCUUGAAGCACCUCGCCCUGCUAGCGAAUGCGAGCUCACAUCCCCCUCACCCCACCCCACCCCUUGCUCGGGAGGGUGCUACAGGAGGCUGCAGCCCUGUUCCACUUCGAAUGGUUGUGUUGAUGUUCCUUUCAACUGGUCCUCUAGCCUCCCCUUCCUCAGGACUCUCUCCCCAGUGAAAGGACAAAUACUACAGAGACUCCUACAUUGAUGGAACCUCAAACCAACUAUGAAGUUGAAACAAAGAGAAUGAACACCAGAAGAUACCUCUCUUGCUAAGCGGUGCAGUAUCGGCCAAUAGAAAACUCAGAACGAGACAAUCUUUUCAAGAUAGAAACACUUAAUAAUGACAUCUAGAUUUCUCAUGAGCCAAGGACCUUCCUUUUCUCUGUUUGUAUUGAUGUUCAGUGUGGCAUUCAUUUAUUUUAUUUUUCCUAGUAUGAAUAUGCCUACUAAAGCACCAAUUUUAGAAUUCAAAAUUGCACAUAUGCGUUAUGUUUUAAGGUACAAACUCAAUGCAAUAAGUAGAUUUUAGUCACACACUCUUUGAUCUUAGGGGUGACUUGGAGAAUAAAAAUUGCUUUUGAAAUAACGAAGUAAUGACAGGCAAUCCAAAGUAUAAAAUAAUUCUAGGGAAACCUACUACAGCACAGUAAGGCACAUUAUUCCACCUGACAACAACCAAUCAACUAACCAUUAUUUUUAUCAAGCACCUAGGUUUGGUGGGAUAUGGUGUCUGUCUCCAAUGAGCUUAAACCUAUUUAGACAGAGUUACAUAAACUUUUCAAAAGACAAGUAACAAAUUGGGUUGGUAGAUGAUAAGAGCAAAAAAAGUAAAAGACGGUAUAAACAUAGAGCUCAGAGGAGGUCAUAGUAAACUAGGCAAAACUGGCCUGGUUGUGGAAGAAAGUUCCCAAAGGAGGGAGAACGUAAGAUGAAUCUUGAAGGAUGUUAAAGAUUUAGAUAAAUGGAAAGGAUGGAGAAAAUAGUCCUUUAGAUGGAAAUAAUAUUGUGAGCAAAGCCAUGGAAGAAGGAAUCCACGUGGAAAUUUUAGGGGAUUAUGCAUACUUACACAUCUAGUUGACUUCAAUCUAGACAUCCAAAACAUAUACAUAUAUAUGGUAUGGAUUUCAUACAGACACCUCCUCUCACCCACUCCAAGUGCUGCCUAGAAUUUAAUCCUAUCUCUUUGCCAUUACAAUGAGUUAAGGUGGUUGGUGAUAAUAUGGGAAGCUUGUGAUUUUUCUGUUAACCUAAUAAGAAUUGGUAUUAAGUUCUAACUAUAUGUUAAUCAUUUUACAUAUGUUAAGCCGCUCAAGCCUCAUAAUAACCCAGCAAAAAUAGGGAUUAUCAUCCCCAUUUUACAGACAAGAAAACUGAGACCUAAUGAGAUUAAGUCACUUGCCAAUGUGACGUAUACAGAUUUCACAUAUAGGAUUAUGAUCACAAAGCUAAUGAUGUGAGGCACUAUGUUGUAAAAUUUGUGAUCAAUAUCAUAUUAUUAUCUUUUUCUAUAUUCCUUUAUAUUUUUCUAUGGAAAACACAUAGAUGUUUCUUUUAACAAUUCCCUCAAAUGUUUCCGUUUUCUGGGUAAGCAGAAAAUUUUAAAAAAGUUGCAAAUGGAGUUUUUCAGCAUUUUAGGUUAUUAUUUGUUUUUUGCUUUUUUUUUUUUUUUUUUUUGUCAAAUUUGAUGAGCUUGUCCACUUUGGUCUGCAAGAAAUCGCCAUUCCUGAGCAUAAAUAAAAGCCUGGAGGAUUUAAGUGUUAUCUCUUGUGAUCUCUUUUUUACAGACGAGGGAAAUCUACAACCUCCAGGGUUAGAAUAAUUUCUGAAGGAUUAUACAGUGAACUUGGCAAAGCUAGGUCGGGAAGCUAGGCCCUCCAGGCCACACUCAGUGACUCUUGAACUACUCCACCCUGCCCAAACUUGAAUUUGAUCAACAGAAACAUUCUAGCUAGGUAAUAAGGGAACAUCAUGCCUAAUAAAUUACUUCAAUCUACACCUCUCUUGACUUCCCACCUCAAUGUGAAAAAUAGCUGGCUAUGAAUUAACAUCUUUAAAUCCAGAAAUUACUAAGGUCCCCCCCUAAAGACCAUGUAAUGACCAAAUUUUUAGGUGUACAAUGUCUUCAAUUAGAUCCUUAAGUUAUUUGGAAUUCUUAGUUCAUCUAAACAAAUUAGCUCUUCUAGUGAGUUUCUUCUUAUCCAACUUCUUAUAUACUUGUAAGUGCUUUUACAUGAAUGUUUAUAAAGAACUGUUUCAAUAGCACUUAGGUUUUUUACAAUAUUGGUAAGUUAUUUACUCUUUUAAUCCUCAUUUAUCCAUGUAACUAACUCAAGAAUACUUCAGCCAUAAAAAGCUAAAACAGAGAAAAUCUCACUCUGUUAAUAGCCCCUUUGCAUUCAGUUGACAUUUAGUGAUGAUUAAUAAAGUGGUCAGCUGCAUAACAGGUUCAAAAGGCAGUUCUGUCUUGAAGGAGUCAGUUAAGCUGGGUCUACUUAAGGACAAACCUUUGGAAGUAUCUGAAUAUAUGACCGCUGCAAAAUUUCCACUCGGAUAUCUGGCAUUAGUGAGACUUAGACCUCCUCUUGGCUCUGGUUGUCCUAUUUUCAAAAUGAUGUUUAUUUGUCAUAUCUCACACAGUUCUCAUUAAGUGAGUUCAUAAAUAAACAGGGUUUUUAAAAGAGAAGCCAAGCACAAAGUGUGACUUUGUUGACAUUUUAUAUGAAUCUGUCAUAUGUCCCUUAUAUCUUCAAUAAAAUCAGUGUUGCAUCGACUAU